rnacentral:rRNA from 1 species
UACGUAGGGGGCAAGCGUUGUCCGGAAUCAUUGGGCGUAAAGAGCGUGUAGGUGGCUCGGUAAGUCCGCUGUGAAAGUCCAGGGCUCAACCCUGGAAAGCCGGUGGAAACUGUCGAGCUCGAGUCCGGAAGAGGCGAGUGGAAUUCCUGGUGUAGCAGUGAAAUGCGUAGAUAUCGAGAGGAACACCAGUGGCGAAGGCGAGUCCCUGGACAACUCCUGACGCUGAGGCACGAAAGCUAGGGGAGCAAACAGG